rnacentral:rRNA from 1 species
UACAGAGGCCCCAAGCGUUACUGAGAAUCACUGGGCGUAAAGCGCACGUAGGCGGAUUUUUAAGUCAGGGGUGAAAUCCCGAGGCUCAACCUCGGAACUGCCUUUGAUACUGGGGAUCUGGAGUCCGGGAGAGGUGAGCGGAACUGCGAGUGUAGAGGUGAAAUUCGUAGAUAUUCGCAAGAACACCAGUGGCGAAGGCGGCUCACUGGCCCGGAACUGACGCUGAGGUGCGAAAGCGUGGGGAGCAAACAGG